rnacentral:rRNA from 1 species
UACGAAGGGGGGCUAGCGUUGCUCGGAAUCACUGGGCGUAAAGCGCACGUAGGCGGACUCUUAAGUCGGUGGUGAAAUCCUGGAGCUCAACUCCAGAACUGCCUUCGAUACUGGGAGUCUCGAGUUCGGGAGAGGUGAGUGGAACUGCGAGUGUAGAGGUGAAAUUUCGUAGAUAUUCGCAAGAACACCAGUGGCGAAGGCGGCUCACUGGCCCGAUACUGGACGCUGAGGUGCGAAAGCGUGGGGAGCAAACAGG